GACGAACGCUGCGGCGUGCCUAAUACAUGCAAGUAGAACGCACAGGAUGCACCGUAGUUUACUACACCGUAUUCUGUGAGUUGCGAACGGGUGAGUAACGCGUAGGUAACCUGCCUGGUAGCGGGGGAUAACUAUUGGAAACGAUAGCUAAUACCGCAUAAGAACAUUUACUGCAUGGUAGAUGUUUAAAAGGUGCAAAUGCAUCACUACCAGAUGGACCUGCGUUGUAUUAGCUAGUAGGUGAGGUAACGGCUCACCUAGGCGACGAUACAUAGCCGACCUGAGAGGGUGAUCGGCCACACUGGGACUGAGACACGGCCCAGACUCCUACGGGAGGCAGCAGUAGGGAAUCUUCGGCAAUGGGGGGAACCCUGACCGAGCAACGCCGCGUGAGUGAAGAAGGUUUUCGGAUCGUAAAGCUCUGUUGUUAAGGAAGAACGAGUGUGAGAAUGGAAAGUUCAUACUGUGACGGUACUUAACCAGAAAGGAGGCUAA
rnacentral:rRNA from 1 species